GAGUUUGAUCAUGGCUCAGAUUGAACGCUGGCGGCAGGCCUAACACAUGCAAGUCGAACGGUAACAGGAUGUGCUUGCACAUCGCUGACGAGUGGCGGACGGGUGAGUAAUGCUUGGGAACAUGCCUUUGUGAGGGGGAUAACAGUUGGAAACGACUGCUAAUACCGCAUAACGUCUUCGGACCAAAGGGGGGUUUAGGCCUCUCGCGCAAAGAGUGGCCCAAGUGAGAUUAGCUAGUUGGUGGGGUAAAGGCUCACCAAGGCGACGAUCUCUAGCUGUUCUGAGAGGAAGAUCAGCCACACUGGGACUGAGACACGGCCCAGACUCCUACGGGAGGCAGCAGUGGGGAAUAUUGCACAAUGGGGGGAACCCUGAUGCAGCCAUGCCGCGUGUGUGAAGAAGGCCUUCGGGUUGUAAAGCACUUUCAGACGUGAGGAAAGGAUGAUGGUUAAUACCCAUCAUCUGUGACGUUAGCGUCAGAAGAAGCACCGGCUAACUCCGUGCCAGCAGCCGCGGUAAUACGGAGGGUGCGAGCGUUAAUCGGAAUUACUGGGCGUAAAGCGCACGCAGGCGGUUAUUUAAGCUAGAAGUGAAAGCCCCGAGCUCAACUUGGGAAGGCCUUUUAGAACUGGAUAACUAGAGUCUUGGAGAGGGGAGUGGAAUUCCACGUGUAGCGGUGAAAUGCGUAGAUAUGUGGAGGAACAUCAGUGGCGAAGGCGACUCCCUGGCCNAAGACUGACGCUCAUGUGCGAAAGUGUGGGUAGCGAACAGGAUUAGAUACCCUGGUAGUCCCCACNGUAAACGCUGUCUACUAGCUGUUUGUGUAUUAUAUACGUGAGUAGCGAAGCUANCGCGCUAAGUANACCC
rnacentral:rRNA from 1 species